rnacentral:rRNA from 1 species
GACGAAGGGGGCAAGCGUUGUUCGGAAUUACUGGGCGUAAAGGGCGCGUAGGCGGUUUGUCGCGUCGGAUGUGAAAGCCCGGGGCUUAACCCCGGGUCUGCAUUCGAUACGGGCAGACUAGAGUGUGGUAGGGGAGAUCGGAAUUCCUGGUGUAGCGGUGAAAUGCGCAGAUAUCAGGAGGAACACCGGUGGCGAAGGCGGAUCUCUGGGCCAUUACUGACGCUGAGGAGCGAAAGCGUGGGGAGCGAACAGG